rnacentral:rRNA from 1 species
UCUAUCCUACGGGAGGCAGCAGUAGGGAAUUUUCGUUAAUGGGCGCAAGCCUGAACGAGCAAUGCCGCGUGAACGAGGAAGGUCUUCGGAUCGUAAAGUUCUGUUGAAGGGGAAAAAGAGCGGAGAGAGGAAAUGAACUCCGAUUGAUAUUACCCUUCGAGGAAGUCACGGCUAACUACGUGCCAGCAGCCGCGGUAAUACGUAGGUGGCGAGCGUUAUCCGGAAUGAUUGGGCGGAAAGGGUGCGUAGGCGGCCUGCUAAGUCUGGAGUGAAAGGUACCGGCUCAACCGGUACAGGCUCUGGAA